AAUCAACGCUGGCGGCGUGCCUAACACAUGCAAGUCGAACGCGAAAGUGGAGCAAUCCAUGAGUAGAGUGGCAAACGGGUGAGUAACACGUGGGUGACCUGCCUUAGAGUGGGGGAUAACGUCCCGAAAGGGACGCUAAUACCGCAUAACAUGCUGCCUUUUAAGAGGUGGACAUCAAAGCCGGGGACCGCAAGGCCUGGCGCUUAAAGAGGGGCCCGCGCCUGAUUAGCUAGUUGGUGGGGUAAUGGCUCACCAAGGCAACGAUCAGUAUCCGGCCUGAGAGGGUGGACGGACACACUGGGACUGAGACACGGCCCAGACUCCUACGGGAGGCAGCAGUGGGGAAUUGUUCGCAAUGGGCGCAAGCCUGACGACGCAACGCCGCGUGGAGGAUGAAGAUCUUCGGGUUGUAAACUCCUUUCGAUCGAGACGAAUGGCCCUUGGGCUAACAUCCUGAGGGAGUGACGGUACCGAGAGAAGAAGCCCCGGCUAACUCCGUGCCAGCAGCCGCGGUAA
rnacentral:rRNA from 1 species